rfam:Schistosoma rodhaini strain Burundi genome assembly, scaffold: SROB_scaffold0008402
AUCCAACCGAGGCGUCCCAAAUAGGACGAAAUUUGUAUCCUGGAU